GGUCUGCGUCCAAGGAGAACUUUGCGAACAGUGCUGUGGACAGCCGAGGAGCAGGGCGGAGUCGGAGCACAGCAAUACUUUAAUCUACACAAGGUAAACAUGUCUAACUUUGACCUUGUCAUGGAGUCCGACUUGGGGACAUUCACCCCCAUUGGCCUGCAAUUUACAGGCAGUGAUGCAGCACAAAAGGUGAUGGAAGAAGUGGUCAAACUUUUGGCUCCCAUUAAUACAACCAAACUCGAGGCCCACGGUGAAGGGACAGACAUCUCACCUUGGAUGCAGGCAGGAGUUCCAGGUCAGUCU